UCCUUCAUCAACGACAUCUUCGAGAAGCUCGCCGGGGAGUCCGCCAAGCUGGCCCGCUACAACAAGAAGCCCACCAUCACCUCCCGGGAGAUCCAGACCUCCGUCCGCCUCGUCCUCCCCGGGGAGCUCGCCAAGCACGCCGUCUCCGAGGGCACCAAGGCCGUCACCAAGUUCACCUCCUCCUAGACUGACGAUGCGUCGCUUGUUGUGACAGAUGUGGCUGUCUGAUGUAUCUGCAAGUAGAAGUAGUAGUUCGUGUGGUAGAAGAUUGCCAACGCUUUGUUGGCUUCUUGGUUGUGAGAACUGAACGUGUUGCUUUUGCAAACUGAAAUCUAUCUAAAAAAUGUUGCGGUUGUGGUACUACUACAUCUGUGACAGUGAUGUUCUUACUAAUGCUGGCUUUUCUACUCAUCUUAAGCUGAAUACAGCCAUGUUCGUGCAUUUGUGUUUUAUCUGCAAGCAGUAGUACCGCUGCUGGUUCUGAAUGGCUGAUUGCUUGCUGAAUCUUGUUUUGCAAA
rnacentral:lncRNA from 1 species